UUGACCUUAACUCAAAAUUGAAUGAGAGAAGCCACAUCAAGUGAGGGGAAAGAGCAUGAGUUGAACAGCCUGUGUAAGUGUUAAAAUUAAUGUCUAAUACUUUAAGUAUUAUUUUUAUAUAGUUUAUUAUCUGACAAAAUAGAACCAUGUGAAGAAAUUAAUCUACCUGCUUAAAAGGCCUGUUCCAUCAAAAUCACAACACAGGAAGGAAAAAAAAGCUAGCCAGGAACUCCACCCAAUUUAUCUCCUGUCUACAUCAGCACUUAACAAAAUGAAGUGAGUGGGCACCUGGGAAUUGUAGUUUUGCUAGGGAUCAUAGUUUAUAGGGUAACAGAUUCUAAUUUCACACCUGGCAACCAUAGUGUUAUAAUACCAAUGUGACUCUCAGUCACAUGCUUCUGUCAAUCACUCUGAUGUAUGCACCACUCAGUUUGUUGCAAAACGCUCUUUCCCUAUCACAAUAGACAGCAGAAUAGGAGAAGAUAGCAGAUAGGAGAAGCUGACUGGAUUUAGGGAAAACACAGAAGGAACAGCAUAGAGGAGUAAUUUGGCAUGAACUUCCAAAUGGCAUGAUGGUUCCAGUACCAUCCAAAAAGGAUAAUUACUCCAGGGUAUCACUAACUCCUGAAGGGAAAGAAAUUUUAAGAAUCACACAGCAUUAGACUCUCAGCUGUCUCAUGGUGCACCUCAGUCUGAACUAAACUGUAGCCUUCUCCAAGAAAGUGAACUGUUUGGAGAAGACACCAUUAAGAUGCCUGCACAGACCAUAAGCUGCAGCAGAAGAUCCAGAGUGAACUUUGGGAUGUGAUGAUUCGAACUGUGUGGGGUUGAAUGCAUUUGUUUUCUAAGCAACUUGAAUUCAAGGAAGAGAACCCCAAACCAGAUGCUGAGGAUGAGAAGAUUGCUCCUGGAGAUGAAAGUGAUCAGAGAGGUUCUCUGUUUUUGGUCACUGAAAAUCAAGUUGGUCACAACAUUUGAGCAAUCUUGGAUGCUUUUGGGGUAAAAUGUGCCUUUGGGUGAUGGAGACUGUCCAUUAACAGUUAGUACCAUGAAGACUGAUAUACUACCAGACAGAGAAAAAGAGGAGGAGAAAGAGAAGGAAGAAAAUAUGCCAAUUUCAACAGAUGCACUAGGACAAGAGUCAUGGGGAAGAGAUUCUGUGAAAGUCACAAAGUGUGAAAGAAAAUAAAUAAUAUUUCUCAUAGCUCCU
rnacentral:lncRNA from 1 species